AGCUCCAAUAGCGUAUAUUAAAGUUGUUGUGGUUAAAAAGCUCGUAGUUGGAUCUCGGCGGUCUGAGGGCGGUUCGCUUGAUUGAGUGCUACUGCUCUAUAGGCCGUGGUUUUGCCAGAGGUCUCGGGGUGCUCUUAACCGAGUGUCCUGCGAUGCUGGCAGGUUUACUUUGAAAAAAUUAGAGUGCUCAAAGCAGGCUUUUACGCCUGAAUAUUCGUGCAUGGAAUAAUAGAAUAGGAAGUCGUUUCUAUUUUGUUGGUUUUCGGAAAUCGACUUAAUGAUUAAUAGGGACAGUCGGGGGCAUUUGUAUUCAAACGACAGAGGUGAAAUUCUUGGACCGUUUGAAGACAAACUACUGCGAAAGCAUUUGCCAAGAAUGUUU
rnacentral:rRNA from 1 species